GCAAAUUCAUUUGUACAUAAACUAACAGGAGUGAAUUUUAAAGAUACACUCUGCUCUCAACAAUUAAAGCUGUCUUGUCGCAACAAAGUUUCAAUAAUUUUUUAUGGACAACAUGGCCCAGUUUGCACAAAGACUAAAAAUUUUAACAUUAAAUUUGGAUAAAAAAUCUUACGGUAGAAGGAAUGAUAUAUCCUUCAUAUUUGCCAAUAAUCUGGUCGAAUUUAGUCAGGUACAAUGGUAUUGUUUCGUUCAAAAGUUGAUUCAUCCUCGCUUCCUUCCUUUCAGGAUCCUCCUCCAUGCGACAGUAGCAGAUAGCUGAAACGUAUAUGAAACCAACCGUUACGUUCAUUUGUGUUUUUCCCCCCAAACGAAGAGAAAAUAAGUUGUGAAAGAAGGAGUAGCCUCUCAUAGUUCCUACAAUUUCUUUAUUCUCUUUGCUUUCUUCAAUAUUGCCUCAACAAGUUCCUGUGGUUCACGAUACUUGAAAUAUAUACAAUGUUACCAGCGUGGAAAUUGUCUUGGAAACUUGGAAAAUCUUUCAAGAGGAACAACAUUGCUAACUGAGAUUCGAGAAAGGAAAGUACCAAGAAUGUCGAGAUAUAAACAACCAUUUGUGGAAAGGUCAGGAGAAGCAGAAUUAUCGAAUAAACGUUAUAUAACUCUUAGUGAUUAAGUAAGAGGAGAGAAACGAGAAAAAAGUCUUUUAUCUAGGUCUUAAUAAAGUAUACUAUAUUUAUCUAAUUGUAUACUUAAAUUUAUCGAUCAAUUAUGAACAUGUAAUAACAUUUAUUUCUUUCAACUACUAAUUUUUAAAUCAUCUGCUGUUCGGUUAAUUGAAGGAUGUCGGCUUUCUGUAGAAGUAUUUCAUAUUUAUUAUUUAAUUAUGAAUAAGGAAAAAACAUACAAAAUAUAGUUUUUAAACGGUUUAUUAUUUAUAAAGAGAAACAUUGACUCGGGAUAUAUAUACUAUAUAUAUACUAUUUACUUACAAUUUUUUUUUUAAGACUUCAAAGUCGAAACAAGCACAGGAAAUUUCCAAGCCGGUUAACAGAAACUUGAAUGAGACAAAAAUAACCUUUAGAUCAAUAUAUGUUCUUCUUCCCCCCUGUUGCUUCCACGUAACUCUUAUCCUAUUGGUGGAGCUGUGCUGUUAUGUGAAAUUAUGACUACAUAAAAACAUCCGGAAAGACUCAUUGAAUGAUUUUAUAGUUUAAGGUUAAUAAAUUUCCAUAAAUUAAAGUUGAAAAUUUAUGAGAACAUGUUUUCUGUAACAAAACUUAGUAAAAACAAACUAGUAAGGUUUAUAGAUUCUUUAAUGAUUAUGUAUGUAUUCAUAAACUAGUUCGAUAAACAUCGUUCGAUAAAACGUCGAACAACACACAACAUUGAAGCGCGAAAUUUCAAAUUCAAGGAAAGAUAAAUAACAAAUAUUGCGAACAAAUGAUAUUAAAUUUACAAUAAUCUCAUGUAAGAAAAAAUAAAAGGGAUAAAAGUAGUACAGAAGAUAGAAAAAUCUAUAAAACUGGUGGCUGGGAAAUAGAAAAUAUAUAAAUUUAUGUUAUUAGAGUUUAGUACUUCUGUCGAUCAAUGUGUUACGACCGUUCGCGGAGAGACGCAGUCGCAGUAGCGAGAGGCGUAAAUUCUCGCUACGAUUCGGUGAAUAGACGCCGCGAAGUAAUCGUUCCCCUGUUUCGGUUAAGAUAAGAGGUGGUUAAAUGAAUAUGACACAGUAUACUUUUUAGCUGAUUGUGAAUGGGCGCCUAAUCAGCCAAUCAGAAAUGGCCGGUAUUGUAUGAAUCCUUUUCUUCAAUGCUUGAAGAGCUGGAUAUUUAUCCAAAACUGGUGCCCCAAACAUAUAUUCGAAAUUUUCAAGGGUCUCUGCAAAUACGAAGUCCGCCCAUGUCGUCUGAAAAAAGGAUCCUCCUCCAUGCGACAGUAGCAGAUAGCUGAAACGUAUAUGAAACCAACCGUUACGUUCAUUUGUGUUUUUCCCCCCAAACGAAGAGAAAAUAAGUUGUGAAAGAAGGAGUAGCCUCUCAUAGUUCCUACAAUUUCUUUAUUCUCUUUGCUUUCUUCAAUAUUGCCUCAACAAGUUCCUGUGGUUCACGAUACUUGAAAUAUAUACAAUGUUACCAGCGUGGAAAUUGUCUUGGAAACUUGGAAAAUCUUUCAAGAGGAACAACAUUGCUAACUGAGAUUCGAGAAAGGAAAGUACCAAGAAUGUCGAGAUAUAAACAACCAUUUGUGGAAAGGUCAGGAGAAGCAGAAUUAUCGAAUAAACGUUAUAUAACUCUUAGUGAUUAAGUAAGAGGAGAGAAACGAGAAAAAAGUCUUUUAUCUAGGUCUUAAUAAAGUAUACUAUAUUUAUCUAAUUGUAUACUUAAAUUUAUCGAUCAAUUAUGAACAUGUAAUAACAUUUAUUUCUUUCAACUACUAAUUUUUAAAUCAUCUGCUGUUCGGUUAAUUGAAGGAUGUCGGCUUUCUGUAGAAGUAUUUCAUAUUUAUUAUUUAAUUAUGAAUAAGGAAAAAACAUACAAAAUAUAGUUUUUAAACGGUUUAUUAUUUAUAAAGAGAAACAUUGACUCGGGAUAUAUAUACUAUAUAUAUACUAUUUACUUACAAUUUUUUUUUUAAGACUUCAAAGUCGAAACAAGCACAGGAAAUUUCCAAGCCGGUUAACAGAAACUUGAAUGAGACAAAAAUAACCUUUAGAUCAAUAUAUGUUCUUCUUCCCCCCUGUUGCUUCCACGUAACUCUUAUCCUAUUGGUGGAGCUGUGCUGUUAUGUGAAAUUAUGACUACAUAAAAACAUCCGGAAAGACUCAUUGAAUGAUUUUAUAGUUUAAGGUUAAUAAAUUUCCAUAAAUUAAAGUUGAAAAUUUAUGAGAACAUGUUUUCUGUAACAAAACUUAGUAAAAACAAACUAGUAAGGUUUAUAGAUUCUUUAAUGAUUAUGUAUGUAUUCAUAAACUAGUUCGAUAAACAUCGUUCGAUAAAACGUCGAACAACACACAACAUUGAAGCGCGAAAUUUCAAAUUCAAGGAAAGAUAAAUAACAAAUAUUGCGAACAAAUGAUAUUAAAUUUACAAUAAUCUCAUGUAAGAAAAAAUAAAAGGGAUAAAAGUAGUACAGAAGAUAGAAAAAUCUAUAAAACUGGUGGCUGGGAAAUAGAAAAUAUAUAAAUUUAUGUUAUUAGAGUUUAGUACUUCUGUCGAUCAAUGUGUUACGACCGUUCGCGGAGAGACGCAGUCGCAGUAGCGAGAGGCGUAAAUUCUCGCUACGAUUCGGUGAAUAGACGCCGCGAAGUAAUCGUUCCCCUGUUUCGGUUAAGAUAAGAGGUGGUUAAAUGAAUAUGACACAGUAUAGUAAGUUAUAUUUCACCGUUUAUUCCAACAACUUAUAACGAAGGCAGUUACGCUGAUGCGUAUGUACGAGAUGAAUAAGUGACUGAUCUGUGGGUGUGUCCUACCCGGUGGAAGGAUAUUGACCGUUCGAAGGAUGUAAAAUCAGAACUGUCUUGGGAGACGAUGCUGUCUCGGAGGAAAGCUAA